rnacentral:rRNA from 1 species
AGAUUAAGUUAUUAAGGGCGCACGGUGGAUGCCUUGGCACUAGAAGCCGAUGAAGGACGUUACUAACGACGAUAUGCUUUGGGUAGCUGUAAGUAAGCGUUGAUCCAGAGAUUUCCGAAUGAGGGAACCCAGCAUGAGUUAUGUCAUGUUAUCGACAUGUGAAUUCAUAGCAUGUCAGAAGGCAGACCCGGAGAACUGAAACAUCUUAGUACCCGGAGGAAGAGAAAGAAAAAUCGAUUCCCUGAGUAGCGGCGAGCGAAACGGGAAAAGCCCAAACCAACAAGCUUGCUUGUUGGGGUUGUAGGACACUCUAUACGGAGUUACAAAAGAACAUGUUAGACGAAUCAUCUGGAAAGAUGAAUCAAAGAAGGUAAUAAUCCUGUAGUCGAAAACAUAUUCUCUCUUGAGUGGAUCCUGAGUACGACGGAGCACGUGAAAUUCCGUCGGAAUCUGGGAGGACCAUCUCCUAAGGCUAAAUACUCUCUAGUGACCGAUAGUGAACCAGUACCGUGAGGGAAAGGUGAAAAGUACCCCGGAAGGGGAGUGAAAGAGAACUUGAAACCGUGUGCUUACAAGUAGUCAGAGCCCGUUAAUGGGUGAUGGCGUGCCUUUUGUAGAAUGAACCGGCGAGUUACGAUCUGAUGCAAGGUUAAGCAGCAAAUGUGGAGCCGCAGCGAAAGCGAGUCUGAAUAGGGCGUUGAGUAUUUGGUCGUAGACCCGAAACCAGGUGAUCUACCCUUGGUCAGGUUGAAGUUCAGGUAACACUGAAUGGAGGACCGAACCGACUUACGUUGAAAAGUGAGCGGAUGAACUGAGGGUAGCGGAGAAAUUCCAAUCGAACUUGGAGAUAGCUGGUUCUCUCCGAAAUAGCUUUAGGGCUAGCCUCAAGUGAUGAUUAUUGGAGGUAGAGCACUGUUUGGACGAGGGGCCCCUCUCGGGUUACCGAAUUCAGACAAACUCCGAAUGCCAAUUAAUUUAACUUGGGAGUCAGAACAUGGGUGAUAAGGUCCGUGUUCGAAAGGGAAACAGCCCAGACCACCAGCUAAGGUCCCAAAAUAUAUGUUAAGUGGAAAAGGAUGUGGCGUUGCCCAGACAACUAGGAUGUUGGCUUAGAAGCAGCCAUCAUUUAAAGAGUGCGUAAUAGCUCACUAGUCGAGUGACACUGCGCCGAAAAUGUACCGGGGCUAAACAUAUUACCGAAGCUGUGGAUUGUCCUUUGGACAAUGGUAGGAGAGCGUUCUAAGGGCGUCGAAGCAUGAUCGCAAGGACAUGUGGAGCGCUUAGAAGUGAGAAUGCCGGUGUGAGUAGCGAAAGACGGGUGAGAAUCCCGUCCACCGAUUGACUAAGGUUUCCAGAGGAAGGCUCGUCCGCUCUGGGUUAGUCGGGUCCUAAGCUGAGGCCGACAGGCGUAGGCGAUGGAUAACAGGUUGAUAUUCCUGUACCACCUAGUAUCGUUUUAAUCGAUGGGGGGACGCAGUAGGAUAGGCGAAGCGUGCUGUUGGAGUGCACGUCCAAGCAGUAAGGCUGAGUGUUAGGCAAAUCCGGCACUCAUAAGGCUGAGCUGUGAUGGGGAGAGGAAAUUGUUUCCUCGAGUCGUUGAUUUCACACUGCCGAGAAAAGCCUCUAGAUAGAUAACAGGUGCCCGUACCGCAAACCGACACAGGUAGUCAAGAUGAGAAUUCUAAGGUGAGCGAGCGAACUCUCGUUAAGGAACUCGGCAAAAUGACCCCGUAACUUCGGGAGAAGGGGUGCUCUUUAGGGUUCACGCCCAGAAGAGCCGCAGUGAAUAGGCCCAAGCGACUGUUUAUCAAAAACACAGGUCUCUGCUAAACCGUAAGGUGAUGUAUAGGGGCUGACGCCUGCCCGGUGCUGGAAGGUUAAGAGGAGUGGUUAGCUUCUGCGAAGCUACGAAUCGAAGCCCCAGUAAACGGCGGCCGUAACUAUAACGGUCCUAAGGUAGCGAAAUUCCUUGUCGGGUAAGUUCCGACCCGCACGAAAGGCGUAACGAUUUGGGCACUGUCUCAACGAGAGACUCGGUGAAAUCAUAGUACCUGUGAAGAUGCAGGUUACCCGCGACAGGACGGAAAGACCCCGUGGAGCUUUACUGUAGCCUGAUAUUGAAAUUCGGCACAGCUUGUACAGGAUAGGUAGGAGCCUUUGAAACGUGAGCGCUAGCUUACGUGGAGGCGUUGGUGGGAUACUACCCUAGCUGUGUUGGCUUUCUAACCCGCACCACUUAUCGUGGUGGGAGACAGUGUCAGGCGGGCAGUUUGACUGGGGCGGUCGCCUCCUAAAAGGUAACGGAGGCGCUCAAAGGUUCCCUCAGAAUGGUUGGAAAUCAUUCAUAGAGUGUAAAGGCAUAAGGGAGCUUGACUGCGAGACCUACAAGUCGAGCAGGGUCGAAAGACGGACUUAGUGAUCCGGUGGUUCCGCAUGGAAGGGCCAUCGCUCAACGGAUAAAAGCUACCCCGGGGAUAACAGGCUUAUCUCCCCCAAGAGUUCACAUCGACGGGGAGGUUUGGCACCUCGAUGUCGGCUCAUCGCAUCCUGGGGCUGUAGUCGGUCCCAAGGGUUGGGCUGUUCGCCCAUUAAAGCGGUACGCGAGCUGGGUUCAGAACGUCGUGAGACAGUUCGGUCCCUAUCCGUCGUGGGCGUAGGAAAUUUGAGAGGAGCUGUCCUUAGUACGAGAGGACCGGGAUGGACAUACCUCUGGUGUACCAGUUGUCGUGCCAACGGCAUAGCUGGGUAGCUAUGUAUGGACGGGAUAAGUGCUGAAAGCAUCUAAGCAUGAAGCCCCCCUCAAGAUGAGAUUUCCCAACUUCGGUUAUAAGAUCCCUCGAAGAUGACGAGGUUAAUAGGUUCGAGGUGGAAGCGUGGUGACACGUGGAGCUGACGAAUACUAAUCGAUCGAAGACUUAAUCAAUUUUUAAA